CCUACGGGAGGCAGCAGUAGGGAAUAUUGCUCAAUGGGGGAAACCCUGAAGCAGUAACGCCGCGUGGAGGAUGAAGGUUUUAGGAUUGUAAACUCCUUUUGUGAGAGAAGAUAAUGACGGGUUCUCACGAAUAAGCAACGGAUAACUCCGUGCCAGCAGCCGCGGUAAUUCGGAGGGUGCGAGCGUUACUCGGAAUCACUGGGCGUAAAGAGUGCGCAGGUUGGCUUGUAAGGCAGAGGUGAAAUCCUGUAGCUUAACGAGAGAACUGCAUUUGACACUAUGAGACUAGAGUGUGGGAGAGGUAGGUGGAAUUCUAGGUGUAGGGGUAAAAUCCGUAGAUAUCAAGAGGAACACUCAUGGCGAAGGCGACCUACUGGAACAUUACUGACGCUCAGGCACGAAAGCGUGGGGAGCAAACAGGAUUAGAUACCCGGGUAGUC
rnacentral:rRNA from 1 species